rnacentral:rRNA from 1 species
UAGGGAAUCUUCCGCAAUGGGCGAAAGCCUGACGGAGCAACGCCGCGUGAGUGAUGAAGGUCUUCGGAUCGUAAAACUCUGUUAUUAGGGAAGAACAAAUGUGUAAGUAACUAUGCACGUCUUGACGGUACCUAAUCAGAAAGCCACGGCUAACUACGUGCCAGCAGCCGCGGUAAUACGUAGGUGGCAAGCGUUAUCCGGAAUUAUUGGGCGUAAAGCGCGCGUAGGCGGUUUUUUAAGUCUGAUGUGAAAGCCCACGGCUAAACCGUGGAGGGUCAUUGAAAACUGGAAAACUUGAGUGCAGAAGAGGAAAGUGGAAUUCCAUGUGUAGCGGUGAAGUGCGCAGAGAUAUGGAGGAACAGCAGGGGCGAAGGCGACUUUCUGGUCUGUAACUGACGCUGAUGUGCGAAAGCGUGGGGAUCAAACAGG